rnacentral:rRNA from 1 species
CAAAUGACUCUCGGCAACGGAUAUCUUGGCUCACGCAUCGAUGAAGAACGUAGCAAAAUGCGAUACUUGGUGUGAAUUGCAGAAUCCCGUGAACCAUCGAGUUUUUGAACGCAAGUUGCGCCCAAAGCCUUUCGGUCUAGGGCACGUCUGCCUGGGCGUCACAC